rnacentral:ncRNA from 1 species
CAAAGGUUUGGUCCUGACCUUAGUAUUAAUUUUAACUACAAUUAUACAUGCAAGUUUCAGCACCCCUGUGAGAAUGCCCUAACUACUCUGUUAAGUAACUAGGAGCAGGUAUCAGGCACACACACGUUGCCCAAAACACCUUGCUAAGCCACACCCUCAAGGGACCUCAGCAGUAAUAAAUAUUGAUCGAAUAAGCGCAAGCUUGAAUCAGUUAAAGUUUAAAGAGUUGGUAAAUCUCGUGCCAGCCACCGCGGUUAUACGAGUAACUCACAUUAAUACACUUACGGCGUAAAGUGUGGUUUAAGAUUUUAAUUUUUUUAAAAAUUAAAAUUGAAAUCCCAUCAGGCUGUUAUACGCAUCUAUGGGUCGAAAAAAUAACAACGAAAGUGAUUUUAUUUCAAAAAAAUAUCUUGAUGCCACGAUAGUUAAAUCCCAAACUAGGAUUAGAUACCCUACUAUGUUUAACCACAAACUUAGACAAUAUUUCUACCUCAUUGUCCGCCAGAGUAUUACAAGCGCUAGCUUAAAACCCAAAGGACUUGGCGGUAUCCCACACCCACCUAGAGGAGCCUGUUCUAUAAUCGAUAAUCCCCGCUAAACCUCACCACUUCUUGCCACCUCCGUCUAUAUACCGCCGUCGUCAGCUCACCCUGUGAAAGUUAAAAAGUAAGCAAAAAGAAUUAAAUUCCAAACGUCAGGUCAAGGUGUAGCGAAUGAAGUGGGAAGAAAUGGGCUACAUUUUUUCACAAAAAGAUACGAAUGGCAAUCUGAAAACUUCCCUAAAGGUGGAUUUAGUAGUAAGAAAAGAUAAGAAUACUUUCCUGAAAUUGGCUCUGGGAUGCGCACACACCGCCCGUCACUCUCCUCAAUAAAAAUUUCCAUUUUAUAUAAAAUAUUCUUUAUAAAUAGAGGAGGCAAGUCGUAACAUGGUAAGUGUACUGGAAAGUGCACUUGGAAU